CUCUGUUAAAUUGUUGAUUUGCAGAAAUUCACUGUACCUCAGAAAUUCUUCUGUCAUUUUUAUGUGUUGGCUGUGGUGUGGACAACAUUGUUGCUGGUCACAACUUGGUUUUAUGCAUAUAAAGAGGCACCAUUGGCCUCUGGGCCUUUACAAUACUCCACUAUUGUCAACUACUUAACUGGGGGUUCGAAUAUCCUUUCUUUUCAUAAUCUCAUUCUCAUUUGCGCAUUGUAAAAUAUAGAUACAGGGUUUGGCAAUCUGUAUUUCUGCUCUUGUUGAUGGAAGUUCAAGCAUUGAGACGCCUUUGUGAGACAAUAUAUGUAUUCAAGUACAGUCCCUCAGCUCGGAUGCACAUUUUUGGCUACCUUACUGGCCUAUUCUUGUAAAAGCAGAGUUACAUCUUGAUGAUAAUGGCUCUAUUGCUCUUUUGCCACUUUCAGGUUGCCACUUUGACUUUAUCAAUGUUAUUUUGGAUUGAUAAUCUUAUAGAAUCAGUCAUUGAUGCCUUAUUUCCUUUUUCUUCGUUUGAAGGGAACCAAAAAUCAAUCCCAUACUGACCAAACUUUGUUGUGGCUACCACUUUCUUCAAUGGCUGGAUAUUGCCUUCAAAGUCCAUAUUCCACAGAGCAAUGACACGGCAUACACCCUGGAAACUUUGGUUAAAACUGUUUCAACCAUUUUUUCUACUGACCAGAUAUAUUGGUAGUGCUAUAGUAAUAUCUUACUAGUUUUUUUAUUCUCUGCUAAGUACACAAUUACAUUACUGAUUGUGCUGCUCAAUGUUAUCAAUAUCUUACGAUUUGAUAUUUUUAGUGAAA